rnacentral:rRNA from 1 species
ACUCCUACGGGAGGCAGCAGUGGGAAUAUUGGACAAUGGGGCACCGUAGCAUCCAGCCAUGCCGCGUGAGUGAUGAAGGCCUUAGGGUCGUAAAGCUCUUUCGCCUGUGAAGAUAAUGACGGUAGCAGGUAAAGAAACCCCGCGUACAUCCGUGCCAGCAGCCGCGGUAAUACGGAGGGGGUUAGCGUUGUUCGGAAUUACUGGGCGUAAAGCGCACGUAGGCGGAUCGGAAAGUUGGGGGUGAAAUCCCGGGGCUCAA